UCCCAUUUGGCUCAGUUGGUAGAGCAUGGUGUUUGCAAUGCCAGGGUUGUGGGUUCGAUUCCCACGAGGGGCC
rnacentral:tRNA from 1 species